AUUUUUGUUAGAAUUAGAUUAUAACUGCCAUAAGAAGUUACUUUAUGCCCAAAGCGCUACAUACGCCUUCUUUGUAUAUAGGCACCUGUUCCCUACGAACAGGCAUCUUUUCAUCUAAGAGACGCCUCCUCUUGUUACCGACUUCCCGAAGAGACGGGACCUUGUAUAAAUACCUCCUCCUACGAACAGGCAUCUUUUCAUCAAUGAAAGAACAAGUUUUCACUUCAUUCUUUACACGUUAUCAGCCACGUUAGUUCUACCGAAGAGCAAAACCAACGAGAGGAAGGGAGCGAGCACUCGCCGAUGGUAAGAUGUUCGGCCUCAUCUCGUUCCUUCCUUCGCCUCAGCCACGAGGACGGCCCUCGUUGCCGUCUCGUCGCUCAUUGCCGCAUGCAAGCCAUCCGUCAGUUCGGCCGUCACGCCGCUGGACGAGGCGCACGUGGUGGUGAUAUGGCCGCAGGCUCCUGCGCCGCUGGACACAGCCUCGAUGCCGCUGCUCAUGCACCGCCGGUGAACAUGCGGUUUGACCCCUUGCUGGUGGCCGGCCCGAGCGCCCCAAUGGUGCACGCGGACGCCGCCGCGCCUGCACCAGUUCCCUGGACUACGCCUCCACCCCCUCCUCCGCUGGUGGAUAGGUUCGCGCCACCGACGGCGACUGCCGCAGAUGAGGCCGCCGGCUGUAGCCACGCCCCAUCUUGCUUCACCCCUGUGCCGAUGCACGCCGCGGUGGACGUGCGUGACGAGCCCUUCCCGAGCUGUGGAGGCGGCGUCGUCUGCGGCCGCGGCCCUCGGGCAGACCUCCGCUGCGGGACUACGGCCUCCAGGUCGGCUGCCGCUCCCGCUCCGCCCGGCCGUGCCCGUGGCCGCCCAGCCUCGACUAGCCGCCGCCCGGCCGUGCCCGUGGCCGCCACCGCGCCUACCGUCCCUGACGCCGGCCACCCUCUCCAGCCCGCCGUCGGCUUCGCCUUCAAGCGGCUGCGGCCGAGGCCGCCGUGCCGGCGCGUGGAGCCCGGCCGCGCUUGGGCUCGCGAAUGGCGUCUCCAACAGCGUCGCGCCGGGCACUCCACUACCCGGAGGAUCCUCCGACGAGGACAGGCGCGGUGGGAGCUCCUCCCGUCGCCUGUAAUGCGGCCAUGGCGAUGUCCGUCUCGGUGCUAUCGAGAGUUUUGGGGAUGAAUCGCUGGGAUUUUUUUCCUUGGGUUGGCUCUCCUUAUCCACUCCUUUGACCAGCGCCGGAUUGCCCUACGUGGCCUGGAGCCCAUGUGUUGUCGCUGGGCACCCAUGUGCUGCCGACGGUAGGCAUCAACGGGAUUUCUUUAUUUGCUAUUUGCUUGAUCGAUGCAUUAGUACUAUUUCACUAUGUGAGCAAAUAACACUAGUUCAAGCAGUAGUUUUAUUCCUGUUUAGGUUGUUAAAUUCAGUACAACUAUUUUAAAAAAAAUGAGACCAACCCAAGGGCUAAUCCUCGUUGGCUUUUCUUUAUAGGAGAAACUCCGUGAGCACCACGUGUCCGUGCCGGAACUCGAACUCGGGUGGGCUGGCAGCAACCUCAGCUGCCCAGCCAACGGGUCGACGCCCCGUCCUCCAGUACAACUAUUUUAGUACUGUUUUCUGUUGAGUGCCGAUGUAUUUCAAAUCCUAAAUUAAUGUAAUAUAUUUUCAUGUUUGCCACGUGUCGAGAUUAAUUGCAUCUAUUUGCAGUUGAGAUUUCAAAUCUCUUGCAAAAUAUAUUCAGUACCUUUAUAGUACUGUUUCUCUAUUGAGUAUGCAGUAUUCCGGAAUAUUUCUAUAAUGUAUCUAUUUCCAUGUUAAACACAUGUCGAGAAUAAUACAUCUAUUUGCAAUUGAGAUUUUCAA
rnacentral:lncRNA from 1 species